AAGUCGAACGGUAACGCGGGGCAACCUGGCGACGAGUGGCGAACGGGUGAGUAAUGCAUCGGAACGUGCCUGGUAGUGGGGGAUAACUGCUCGAAAGAGCAGCUAAUACCGCAUACGACCUGAGGGUGAAAGGGGGGGAUCGCAAGACCUCUCGCUAUCAGAGCGGCCGAUGUCGGAUUAGCUAGUUGGUGGGGUAAGAGCCCACCAAGGCGACGAUCCGUAGCUGGUCUGAGAGGACGACCAGCCACACUGGGACUGAGACACGGCCCAGACUCCUACGGGAGGCAGCAGUGGGGAAUUUUGGACAAUGGACGCAAGUCUGAUCCAGCCAUGCCGCGUGCGGGAAGAAGGCCUUCGGGUUGUAAACCGCUUUUGUCAGGGAAGAAAUCUUCUAGGCUAAUACCUUGGGAGGAUGACGGUACCUGAAGAAUAAGCACCGGCUAACUACGCGCCAGCAGCCGCGGUAAUACGUAGGGUGCAAGCGUUAAUCGGAAUUACUGGGCGUAAAGCGUGCGCAGGCGGUUAUGCAAGACAGGUGUGAAAUCCCCGAGCUCAACUUGGGAACUGCACUUGUGACUGCAUAGCUAGAGUACGGUAGAGGGGAGUGGAAUUCCGCGUGUAGCAGUGAAAUGCGUAGAUAUGCGGAGGAACACCGAUGGCGAAGGCAGCUCCCUGGACCUGUACUGACGCUCAUGCACGA
rnacentral:rRNA from 1 species